UGGGGCACCCACUUCUUCAGCACACGUACACACGCACUUAUGUUCGAGCACAGAGCGCACAUAUUCACAUAGUGACCGGACACGCCCAGCAAGCGUGUGCGAAACCGCACUCGCUCGUCUAAAGUGUUUUUUUUUCUUGGGGGAACACAUAUGGCACGCUCGCACACACACAUACAGAAACGGGCACAGCUGUGAUCUGCACACCUACUCCUUCCCUCACUUCUGUCCCUAUCCUCCUCGUCCUCUGCAAAGGGCCUAAAGUGAGCACUAGGAUGGACGAGGUCAUCAACGUCAUAUCGAAGUGUAUCACGCAGCUUAACCUCUUCGUGGAUGGCCCCGCUGCCCACUUGAGUGGGACAGCGGCGCCCACGACGAUUGAAACGAUAAGGAAGUGCAUCGCCGAUCACGCAUACUUGUUCACUGACCACCGCAUAAAUGGCCAGCGCAUGUGGGAGCUUGUAUGUUCAGCGACCUUCACCGUCGGUGAGCCGCGUACGCCGACGACUGCAGCGACUGCGACUGCGACUCUCCUCUCCCUCUUUCGUCGCCUCACGGAUUCGGUGGCGGCCUCUGCGCGUGCGCCUGAGGCGGACAUUCUGAAGCACCUUGUGAAGCUGCUGCGCGACGCUGUGAAGCCACCGCUCGUGCGAGGUGCGUCACCUGGGCAACUGCGGUGCCUCUUUCAGGCCGCGAUGCGGUUGCUAAAGCUGCUGCUUCCAUUAAAGAAGCGCGCGGAUGUGCAGACGGAGUGUCUGCAUCUCCUGCUCGCGCUGAUGCAGCUUUCAGACUUGCAGGAGGCGCAUUGCGCGGUGGUUGCUUCUGGGGAUGAGGUGGCACAGGUGGCCAAACUGUGCGCAGAUAUCUGUGGGGCCAAGCAUGACGUCGCGCUUCGGCCGCAGAACGCCUCUAUGCAGCUUCUCGGUUGUCUGUGUGAACAGCCAGCGUAUGUGCACGCCCUAAGCGGACAGCUCGCGGAGAGAAUUCUGAAAUGCUUCCUCGACGUUGCGAGGAAUCUGGCCCAGCGGGCGGAGGUGAAUCAAACUCUUGGAGAGGGCCUUCUACGGGGCUUGGCGGGGGUUCUGGGCAGUUUCCCGCUCCGCUGCGAAGAGGACGCCCCUGCCUUGACUCUCAUCAACAACAUCGUACUCAGCGCGCUGAUGCUGGGCGAAACGUCGACCAACUAUACGUUCUGCCUUUCCGCACUCUUUCUACUUCGUCGUCGAGCCUCCGACACCCUUGCGCCUUUCACGCUGCUGUGCGCCGCCGAGUACAGCGUCGCUCUCAGAUCGCUGUGGAUGCACCGCAACAAAGACGUGCGUCGAGAAACACACGCCGCGGCGGCAGUGUUCUGGUCCGCGCUGAGCUCUCAGCUGCAGCAGCGCUGUUCGUCAGAGGUGGCGGAUGCGAAUACCACGCGCAAUACGGCCGCGUCACACAAGCUUCAUAGCAUUGUGGAGUUCCUCCUGCGGUCUUUGGACUCGAGCGCGGACCGGGAAGCCUCUUAUGCCUUAGAAGCCCUGUAUCACCUUCUCCCCGCCGUGGCCGCGCUAAGUGGUCCUCAGGCGCUGCAGACGAUGAGCACGCGCCUCGAGGAGCGUGUAGGGGGUCUGCUGAUCACCGCGUCUGCGCAGAGGACGGAGGCGUUGUUUCAACAGAUGCCCUACCUUCUCGCCACCCUUGGGCAGCUGUUGACGCUGCUUCCGUCGGUGUCGCCGCGGCAGCAGGCAGUGGUGCGGGAGCUCCUAGACUGGGUCCUCCUCCUCUACCCGCACCCGAAGUUCUACAACCGAGAGAAGACAGUGCCGGGUAUCGUGCUUGUAAUCAGGGCUCUCACGCACCACCCACGCGCACCCCACAACACCCUGCCUCGCCUGCUAAGCGAGCGUACACUUGAGCUUGUCGGGGAAGCGCCAGGCGCAGCCAUGAUGAGGCUUGCAGGUGAGCGUAUCUCCACUGAGGAGCGGUUGGACCGCAUGGCAACACUGUGGACGAGGCUCCUGACGACACGUGAGGAAUCCGGAGCAGAAGCAGAGGCCGAGUCGAAGCAACGCCUCUCUGCCGCCUUUUACCGCGCCUGCACGGGCUUCUGCGAGCGGGCGCGGCUGGAGGUGGUGAUCAUGAAAAGCAACAGCGAGGCAACGCUGGAGCGAAUUUUGGUGGACGGCGUUGAUGGCGUGCAGCCUAGCUUUCCGACGCAUUACAGUGCGUUUUUGAGUUUUGUGGACUUCUUUGUCCGCCUCAGCGAGGGGCUCAAGGGGUCUGGCUGCGUUUGUCGCCCACCAGCAGAGGAAUUGACGGCAUGGCUGGAAGCGCUGGUGCGUGGCGCCAGUGCCGCACUGCACGUCUCCGGCUUUUACACGCUGCUUCAUCGCACCGUCGUGGGCGUCGAGGGCGUGUGUCCACACUCAUUGACACAUCAGCGGCCCUAUACGGACGCUCCACUAGCGAGUGGCAACUCGGAUGUCACCAGUGAUGGCCACCACGAAAACCACCUGUGCGUCUCGCCGCUCCUUCACCACUUUUUAUCUACGGAGUGCCUGCGACGGGUGCACGUGUACAGCGACGAGCUGCUCUACCAGUGUGCCAUGUGCGUGGUGGUUGGUGCGGCGCUUGUGGGGAGUGAAGAUAGGGGUGAGCUGGCUGGUAGCCGCGCCCGAGCUUGCGACGACCACCGCCGCCUCGACGCAUAUGUGCGCGCCUUCAAGGUUGUCAUGACAGCCACACCAACAUCACUGCAAGCUGAAAGUGUCGCCGGCAGCACGAAUGAGGUCGUGUGCAGCUUUGGCAGCAGCCCCGCUAUCCUUGAGAGUAACCGGCAGCAUGCCUUGCGCGUGUUGGAAAAGAAAGCAUGCCGUUCGCCUCGCUGGGCAGCUGCAGUGCUGCCAGCACUCACGAGCGCCUUGCGCUCCGCGGAGGUGGUGGCUGCCGUGCGAGCCCCCGUGCAAAUGUUGGCGGCACGGCACGGUGUCGCCAUCGCUGCGGAGCUGCAGCAUCACAGCAACGAGGCCACCUUCGCCCUGCUCUGCAGGGGCGAGCCGGCCAGCAAUGGUCGUCGAGAUAGCAUGCCGCGCUGGUUGGCGACAAUGCAGCCAGUCACCGUACCGCUCGUACCGGUAGAUAGUGCGCUGCACAUUGGGUACCUUGUCCCCCUCGUCUCACGGUUGAGUCUACACGGCAAGCACCCAGCAGUGCGCACAGCGGCAGCGGAAGUCCUCUACUGGUGUGUUGUGUGGGUGAUUGGUAAGAAGGUGAACGACUGGGGCAGCGCCGUCUUUCCUCCGUUGCUGUCCCUUGCUUCUCUAGCCCGCACCAGCACGGGUGGUAGUGGUGUCGGCGGUGGCAGCAUGGUGCACCAGGAGCUACAUGGGUUACUGAUGCAAGCAGCGCGGUGGUUUGGUAGGUCAGCGGGUACCCCUGAAGAGGCAGAGUUGUUUGUGUCCGUGCUGUUGCGCGGGCUUGGCGAGCGAGAGGGGACGCAGCGACAGGUUGCGACGGAGGCCCUCUUCGCAUAUGCCAUACCGCCCGCAGACGAACCGCAAACGGUGACCCCUCAUUUUCGAGCGGUGAUCGGGCGACUGGUAAGGAUGGAGUGCGGCGUAUCUGAAUGGUCUCGGUUGGGGGCGGCUCAUUGUCUGCACGUCAUGAUGCGCCGCCUGUGCAAAGUUAGAGUGCCGGGGCUGGUGUGCACAGUGCAGGCGGUGGCGCAAGGUGCUGUUGGCUGCCUGCGGCGCUGCACGGAGGCCCCUAUAUGGGGGGCGAUGGAGACUGCCACGUGCAACGAGGUUCAAGAGUCGCUUCGUUGGUUGGGAGCCUACUGUCACGAUAUCCGCCAACUGGAAAAUGAAGAAGAGCAAAGGGAGGCAGACCGAUUCGCGGCAGAUCUUGUGCACGCAGCGCGUGCGGUGCUUCCAGCGUUGGCACGACGACACACCGUCUGCGCCAUCACACUGCUGCAGACGCUGCCUGCGGUAACGCACACGAACGCCAGCGCGCGCCAGGUGUUGUUGCUUUCUCAGGAACUAUUCUGUGAACAGCAGCAGCGGCUGGGCCCCGCCGCGGUCAGGUCACUUGACAGCACGGUUGGCGGGUGCGCCACCCUCGUAGCGCUCCUUCAGAGUGGCUAUGGCACCGAAACCAACAAAAGGGCGAUCGCUGAAGCGGUAACCCCCGUCAUCUGUACGCGGGCGGACGACUGCAGUGUUGAAACAGAGCUGCUCCGUCUGCUGACGGUCGUGCUCCAGGCCAUUGUCGAGGAGGCACGCGUGGCAACGCAUGAAAGCAGGUGCAUUUCUCCGCACAUCGUGCGGUGGCUACUAGAACUUGUAGACGUGGUACCGGAGCAGACACACGCCACGCAUUUCUCUCUGCUCCUCACGCCUACCGUAAUUGCGCAGGCUGCUCGCGUGAUGGUGGCGGGAGCUAAAGUGACCGUGGAGAACUGCGCAGGAGACGUCGGUGAAGACGCAACUGCUGGCGUGCCGCUUCGCCGCUGCGCCCCCUCCUCGCAACUGGCUCCGACGGCGCGGUGGUGCCUGGAACUCAUUGAGUUUCUAAUGCGCGUGGCUGGUCAAAGGCGUCGCGGCGCACAAGUGAUCGAGGACGUACUCUGCGCCAUCCGGGAAACUAGCGUGUUUACUGUAUUCACCGCAGCCUCGCCUGCCCGCCAGCUUAUCGAUGCGCUAAGCGUAGGCCCAUCAGCGCUUGUUACUGGGCCGGUUGCCCUCGCGGCUGCGCUGUGUCAGAUGGAGGCCCCUUGCUCCUCCGGCACCACGACGCUGUGGAUGCGCAUAGCUGAUUCAAUGAAGAUAUCGCCCAAGACGGUUGUCGCAAUGCUGUUGGGAUUACUGCGAAACUCCGCCGCCCUCAAUGCCACGGGCGGAGAAGAGGUGUGCGAGGGGCUGUUGGUACUUAUGCUCAGUGAGCCUGAUCCCGCACUCCUUCGCCAGCACCUACGCGACCUGCUUGCUUCCGACGCGGUGCAGCACAACAUCUUCACGAGCUCCUCGUUCGCUGUCAACCUCGAAGACGGUCAUGGUGCAGUGGCUGUGUCGCCCUCAUCAAGGUCGACCUCGGUAUUACUGAGCCGCGCCUUUGACAGUGUCAUGAACCGGUGCUGGCAGCAAGCGAGUGCUGCGCUACCCACAGACCGUCUCGUCUCUGCGCUGCCGUCCUUGACCACGGUCGCGAUGUCAGAAGAUGCCCUUCGAAGUUCAAGCGAGGCAGUCUCCCUCUUCAGUUUGGUUGGAGACUGGCUCGCGGAACUGCAGCGUCGCUCGCUGACAUCCGAACACGACAAGGUACUCUGCCGUGUCUGCGCGAAUCUGGUUGCAGCGGAGCGAGAGAUGCGGCAAAGCACGCCGACGGCGGCGCAAGACGACGGCCGCGGGGGUGCUCGGCUCGCAGCGUUGCUGAUGCUUGUGCAACUAAUAGGCCCGGCCAUCCGUACAGAUACGACUCUGAGCAGCGCGCUUUGCGAUCUGGUACUAUUCGUCAGCAAGCCCGCCAACAUGUGCAGCCUCCUGGCAAGUGUUGAUGCAACAGAGCACGUUGUAUGGGGCUUUCACGUGCUUGCGGCAACGAUGACGCCGCGCCCGGCGCGUCGCUCCUUGGCGGUUUUUCCUGUCGACCUGAGGGCAGUGGAAAUGGCGUUCGACUUUCUCAACGAGGUACUCAACAGCGCGCUGCCGCUGCGGUGGACGGAGCUGAAGACACCCCGGGAAAAGACGAAUGGUGCCGACGUGGUCCGGUCAGGGACGGCGCUCUUCGCGGCGGUGCUGCCCCACAAGGUGCAGGUGCUCGAGGUGAUUGCCCCUCUCCUCGCGCAGGAAUCUAUGCCGCAGCGCGACACCAUUGUUCGCCAGGUGCAUGGGGCGCUGCAGGCGCUGAGCGUUUGCCAGCAAGCGCUUCAGCUGGACGCGUGCAGGUGCGCUUCCCGUUUGUUGCGCGAUCCACGCACACACCCUGGCAUCUGCGACGCCCUCACCGAGCACGUCCUUCUUCCACUUCUACAGGCCUCCGCUGAGGCGGUGCGGCUGCGACUCUUCGAGGAAGAGGUUCGCAACUGGGUAACUGAGGCAGGCAGGGCGCCCGCGCUUGGAUGCUUCUAUAUGCAAACUGCGGCUUUCUCCUGCCUGGCACUGAUGCACCGCCUUUGCCCUCUGACCGAAUUGCGAGGGUCGAUCAGUACAGCGUUCACCGGCAGAAAUCCAAAUACAACUGGGGUAGAGCUCACGCUGGAGGUGCUGAAGGCGUGUCGCGCAGCGUGGCAGUCACCGAAUACCGGCGGCGACGACAAUAGUGCUGAGGAGGCUGACGAUGACGUUGGCGACAGCGCGCGCGCCGACGCGCCGCGUCGAUACCGUCAAGCCGCGUUCCGGUGCCUUCUCGCGACGCUCUCGCAAACGCAGCAAACCGAGAAGGUGUUCUGUCGAUGCUUUUUUCAAGAGCGUAGCGUCGCAGGGUGGAACGGCCUCUUCCUCGUGAAGAGACCUGGGGUCGCUGUGACGGAUUUAUUGGACGCAGUGGGAGAGGUGCAGCUGUGGAGAGACAUGGACAGGUGCCAAGUACCGGAGCUGUUCGCGCAUCUUCUUCGGCACUUUCCGUCAUCCUCGGUGACGCCGGGUGAGCCACCGGAGUGGGUCCGCCACGUUGUCGCGGUCUUGCGGCAGCCACAGCUGCGCCUGCCCGUCAGAAUGGUCUUUUACGAGAUGAUAUGCCGUCACGAGCGUUUCUUUGGCACCUUCGCGCGGUGCAUCUUCGACGGGGUCGCCGACGCCGUGGCCGCGAUGGCGCCUUCGGAACGGGCGGGGAAGGUCAUCUGGGAGCUUCUCGCCCUCCUAACAAGGUGGCACCGCGAAGGGAGCUCAAGAGCCUUAGCUGUGGGUAGCGCCGCAUCGCUGAAAGCGCUUGCCCGGUAUGCUGCCGUUCACUUGGCAUGGGAGCACUCCUUCACUGCAUGUGAGGGAAGUCGUGCACUGGACCCCACUUCCCACAAGAGACUUGCUGAGCUGCUGGAGCAGUUCCGUCGGGCACAAGGUGCCGCACUGGCGAGCCUGUCUACGUCGCAGCCGCUCACUGCGGCAGAGAUGAAGAUGCUGCUCUCGCACCCUGCGUACGAGCGCCACGCCGCCUUGGAAGUGAUUUAUCUGAUCACAAACGCGUGCGGCUGUCUUGGCUGCACCGGAGACAGCCGGGAGGUGGUGGAGGUGUACGAUUUGCUGGGCGCUUUCCUGGGUGCCUCGGCAUCGCCGCAGUUGUACCACAUCACGGCACGGCUCGUGGGCCUUGAACACCGUCUGCUGAGCGAAGCGGCGACACGGGAGCCGUCUUCUGCGGUCAGGAAGCUCCUUCGCGACGCGCUGCGGGGCACUGUGUGCGCAAUCUUGGCUGUGUGCAAGUCGGACAAGAAGUUUCUCGAGGUGCUCGAGGCAAUGCAGGAGGACCGGAGCGGUGACUUGGUGUACCAGCUGCUCAGUCGCACAGACCUGCUGUGUCGAUAUAGCAUUCGGAAAGACUCAGAGAAGCUGCUCACCUUGCGCGUCUUGGCACGCGCCGGCACCUACGUCGCCGACAACUACGACUCCAUUCACGUGUGUUUGUCAGGGCUGCUGCGUGGCGGUCAGGGCGAGCCUCUGCUAGGCAUCUGCACGGUUGUGAAGAACGCCUUACCGCAUAUGUCGAUGGAAUCAGUGCGCCACGUUCUGCGUGACUUGUGCUGUCUCGACGUCUUGCAAGCGAUGGAGUCGGCGGAGCCGGCGCGUAUUGCCUUCUAUAAGAUGGGUUUGGCCGCCUUACGGCGGUGGACGGUCGUGAGAGAGGAUCAGGAGAAACAGGACGGUGGCGGCAGCGUCAGUGCAGAUGCUGAGGCAUUCCUGGUUCGUCGUGGGCUCCGCGACGCCUCUCCUGCGGUGCAGGGCGCGGUGCUGGAGUACCUUGAUGUUCACGCGCAGCAUGUACCAGACACGAUGUGGGGGCGCCUCACAUGUCUUUUCACAGCCGAGGACGGGGCGAGUGGAGACGGCCACAGUGGCAGUGGGGGGUGGGUGCGGCAUGUCGCCCUCCUCCUCCUCUCUCUGUCAAAGCGGUCGCGCGACUUUGCCAACCCCACCUACUUUUGCCCCGAAGCCUUGCACUCGGAAGGGGCGUCUCCGACGCUGGCGACGAGCGCAGAUACCGCGGCGGAAAGCUCCGUUGCGCAGCGGCAGCCCCGGAGCGCGCCUCUCUUCUCUGAAGCAGUGCAGUGCGGCAGCCCUGCGGAGGCGGCGACAGCGAACGCUGCAUGCCCAAUAACCGCUGCGCUCGCCCAGAUUUACGUGCCGCCUGCCCUGGUACCCCAGCCACCACACCAACAGCAGCAGCCUUUGUCGGGCGCACGGAGACCUCGAGCAACUGGUGCGUGGCGACUUGGUGCCGCGCCGUGCGCCGCCGCGACCGCGGUAACCCGAUCCUGGCUACGCCUGGAAAGCGGUGAUUCCGAGCAAGAGAACGCGGUGAUAUCGGCCGGUGUGAUGGCGUCCCGCCAAAUCUCUGCAACGAUGCAACGAAACGCUGCGCAUGGCGCCGCACUGCAAGCUGGUCGCUCGGUGAUGAACGCACCAUCAGCAGCGCCCUCCCUUGAAAGCAACACGGCCGGACGCUUGUCGGAGGUGCGGCUGACACUGCAGUCUCUGCUGGUGCCGCUGCAGGUGUUGUGCCUCCACGAAGAUGAGGUGGCUGCCCGUGUGCUCAUCGAUCUUAUCAGCAACGCUGCCGUCGCAUCCCCUGUCACCAGUGAGUCACCACACAUAGUCUCUCUGUGUAGUGCCCUCACUUCUCUCUUGCCUAAGUUUCAGAGCGGGGCGACAACCAGGCAGUGCGAGCUUGCCAAGAACCCCUUCACCCUCUUCGUUGCGCUAGAACUGUUGUUGCAUGCGCAGGCAGCCGGUUGGUCUUCAUUGGCGAGUCUUGACUGCGCAGCCCUAGUGCGCCUCACAAGCGACGUACAGGCGUAUGGCGGCAGUGUGCCAACGGCGUUUCUGCCCGUUGUGGACGGCACAGCACACGUUGUGGAGAAGUUGUUGUCGUCACUGCAGCCGUCGGCAGCGCGGGGGGUGCCUACAAGACCCUCUCUCGAGUUUCCUGCGCUUGGGUGGCAUGCCUAUCACGUGGCGCAGCGACUGCGUCGACACGAUGAUGCGGCAUGUCAGGCAGCUCUGCAGUUGUUCAGGGCUACAAGGCGGCAUGAGGCACCGGUCAUUCAGUUGCAAGGCGCGCUUGAUGCCAUGGAGGUGGGUGGGGCAGCCUACUCGAUGCGCGUUAUUGCAAAACUCUUGGAAGAUGAGGAGAAGGAGGCAGCAGCAGCAGUGGCAACUGUAGCGUCCCCUGCAACGCACGUGAGCGGUGGAGCCUUCGCCCUGUUCGCUGCUCGGGAGGAAGUGCUGCGCCACUACCGGAGUCGUGCCUCCCGGCUGCUGCUGGAUUGGUGUGGUGCGGCGUCGGCUUUGCAGUCCGCAACGCCUGUAGGGGCAGGGGGAAGCGGAGAAGUAAGCGUUGAGGGCGUGCGCCUCCGCUUACGCGCGCAACUGCAGCUGAUGUGCAACGGGGCUGCGUCUGCGGUGACAGCGGAAGCCUCGACGGCGUCGCGGCACCGCACGGGGUUCGAGUGGGGUGCGUGUCUCAUGGCAAAUGGACGCUGGCUGGAUUGUCAGCUUCAUGCAGAAACCUCUGUCGACCACCUGCUUGAAAGCACCGCUUCUCACUAUGACAGCGGCGGCAGCUCGCUAGUCUGCGGUUACCUCGCCGCGAACUCCCUCUCGCAGUUGGCGGAUGCAGCGCAGGUGCUGCGAUUCGUCUCCACGAGCGCCGCGAGCAGCGCCGGAGUGGCGCUCCAAACGUACCUCGACACGAUGCCAGCGUUGGUACCUCUCAGCGGCGCAUAUGGCUCACUGUUCAUUGACGAUGUCCUUCUCAUCCGCAGGCUCAUCAUCGACUACCACGUGCAAUCGACGGGUGAUCUCUUGGGCAGCUUGCAGUUCACGGACAACGAACGUCACAAGCUUGUUGCACAGAUUCACGAGCUGCUGGGCACGUGGACUGUGCAGCAGUGCUCAGAACUGCUGCUUCUCCCGGAGAAGACGAGUGCCAUCGAGACUAUAGCGUCCAAGGCGGACCACGCCACGCUAUCCGAGCCAACACGCUGCGCCUUGGAGCUUCUCAAGAAGCGGAGUAGCCUCUUUAGUAUUGCGGUUACGCCAAGGGAAGCGAGUGGCGCAUCACGAGAGGAAGCUCUUGCCGCGUUCCAGAAGGCGACGGGAAAGGACGUGCAGCAGCGUGCGGCUGCGGGGCUGUUGUCGCCCGCAGCAGCGCGGCAGUGGGCCGCCGACGUUGCUCAGUGCGAAGUAGAGAUUUUCGCCUCCAUCGGUAGCAUCCUAAGCAUCCCUGCUGGGUCGGCAGCCUCUGUACAAAAGAGGGAGAUAUGGGUGUCAACUCUGAAGGAAAACUUGCGGGACACGAUACCGUCCCACGUGGCCCUGCUCAACGCGCUGGAGAAACUGUUGCCUCCUGUGUCGCGCGGCGACGGCACCCUCGCUGACAUGGGUGGAGAUGCGAAGGAUGCUGCGCGCGCGUCCUACAUCACAGCCGCGACGCAAUCGCUUUGGCAGCUCUACGCCAACACAUUUCUCUGGUGCGCGCAGGCAGUGGGCGAUCGCAGCAUGCAAGUCGGUAGUGGAGGACAUCUUCCGGUGUCAGCACGGGUGCCGCGACUGCUCUCGCUAUUUGCCCUCCCGCGAGUAGCCGAAGCCGCAGCGCAGGCUCAGUGGCGCGGUACAUGGGAGGCUCUGGUUAUGCUGCCUACGCUAGUGUGGCUCCCAUGGGCAACCCUCCUUGUCAAUGCGCUCCUGCAGACGGAGCACGCCGUCCUGGCUCGAAUCCUCCUGCGCCUCUGCCGCGAGCGUGGGCAGGUGCUCUACUACCCCAUCAACUGCGCCUGGCGCAGUCUCGCCGAUCUGGGAAAACGCCGCAACGCCGGCCGUGCCGUCGACGACGACCUGACACGUGAACUCGCGGAACUACACAAGUGGCACAGGAGCCACAGGAUGGCUCUUGUUGCCGAGUUCGCCGCCGCCCUUGAUGAGCUCGUAGAGCCCCAGCAUCGCCUGGAGGUGCGGCUGAGCGAGGUUGAAUCACUGGUGAAGCAGCACGAGCAGUGCACGCGCGGCGGCGGCGGCGCGCAGGCGGAGUAUCUGAUGGCGGCACUGCAGCUGUACGAACGCUGCAAAAGUGAUCUCAUGGACCCAGCACGGUGGGGACGGGCGCAACUCUACCACCGCCGGGCCGCACAGGUGUUGCAGGAGCUCGAUCGCCGGAACGCUUUUUCCGCGGAGGUGCUCAAGUCAGGUGAACAAUUCCGCAGCGCAAAGAGGGAGGCCCUUCGCCAAGUAGCACAGACGCUGAGCACCCUCUCCACGAGCGCAUCGAAUAGUGCCACCAGGUCACAGGAACUGAGACUGUAUUCGGAGCGACUUCAACACGCGCUGGGGCGCAGCGCCACGGCCGCGACUACUACUACUACCCAACUGGGCUACACCAGCGAUGCGGCCGAGCCGAUCCUCCAGCCAGUUCAGCCGACACACCUCCUCCAUACACCGCCGGAUGCGGCUCAGCAGUGCUGCACGCUCGUCGGCGUAGCGGACCGCGUCCUCGUGCUCAAGUCGAAGCGGUUGCCGAAGAAGGUGGAUAUUUACACCUCCGCCGGCAUCUGCACCUACAUGGUCAAGGGCGGCGAGGACCUCCGGCUAGACCAGCGCAUCCAGGAGGUGUUCACAUUCGCCAAUCUUUGUCUUCUCGUGUCUCCACGCUCUCGGCUGUCAGCGUUGACGAUCCGCACCUACGCCGUCGUCCCUGUCUCGCCGCUUGUGGGGCUGAUUUGCUGGGUGCCCAGAACGACCCCGCUGCAGGAGCUGAUGAAGGAGGCCACACCGCCAGAUGCGCAUGAUGCAGUGGCCCGCUUCUGCCGGGCUCGCGGAAAGCCACAAGAGAUUCUCCCUCUCUACAAAACCGCUCAUAUCACCGGGAUCCCAGAACAGGAGUACAAGGAUCUUGUGUAUUGCCUGCGCCAGUCGGCCCUUGUAGAGUCGCUCCAGAGCAUCGCCACUGACCACUGCUCUUGGCUUGGGGCACGAGACGCGUUCUUGGACACGAACGCCGCCGCCUCCAUGGCGUCUUUUGUGCUGGGCGUUGGGGACCGCCACGCUGGCAAUUUGCUGGUGGACCUCCUAAACUCUGAACUGGUGGCCAUCGGCUUCGGGCUGGCGUUUGGCGACGCGACGCGCAAGCUGCCGGUGCUGGAGCUGAUGCCCUUUCGGCACACGCCGCAGCUGCAACGGGUACAAGGGGUUUUAGGGGACGACGUCACGCGCUGCCGUAUGCGCCACGUCUUGCACGUCUUGCGCGCCGAGCGACAAGUUGUGGAAGGAAUGGUAGCAGCGCUGCUAAUGCCAGAUGCAGACGCGAUAGGCGACGAGGAAAGUCGCAUUGCUGGGCAUCAGCUUGAUGUGGUGCGUCGCAAGCUCAAUCUCGAGCACCCCGCCGGCAUCAUUUUGCGCGACGUGGCACGCAACGCGUACGUGACCCAAGACAAGGACGUGUGGAUCGGAGUCAAGGCAUGUCUCUGUGAGAGGAAGCGAGACGAGAACGGAGAGGAUGCCGACCUCACGGAGACGGCACUGUCGGCGCUUCAUCAGGAGGAUGUAUUUGUGCAGCGACUGCUGCGCAUCGCUUCUGACCCGCGCGUACUUGGUCGUGCCUACGCUGGAUGGCAGGCGUACAUGUAGUACCGGAAAAAGGGGGAGAGAACGGAAUUGAAAC
rnacentral:misc_RNA from 1 species